rnacentral:rRNA from 1 species
UACGUAGGGUGCAAGCGUUAUCCGGAAUUAUUGGGCGUAAAGAGCUCGUAGGCGGUUUGUCGCGUCUGCUGUGAAAACUGGAGGCUCAACCUCCAGCCUGCAGUGGGUACGGGCAGACUAGAGUGCGGUAGGGGAGAUUGGAAUUCCUGGUGUAGCGGUGGAAUGCGCAGAUAUCAGGAGGAACACUGAUGGCGAAGGCAGAUCUCUGGGCCGUAACUGAUGCUGAGGAGCGAAAGCAUGGGGAGCGAACAGG